UGCCGACUAUUUGGUUGUUUGUGGAUGCACUAGAAGUUUCAAAGUUUGUGUAAGAAGCCUGGAUCGAUUCCGAAAUUUAAACCUCUAAACAUCGAGAGAAUUCAGGGGGAUCUUCUUCUACCACCAGGCCCCAGCCAGUGCUGCUUGUGCAUGCUACGAGUACGACGUCGACGGGGUCCCUCUGCCGUGGCCCUGGUCGCAAGUGGCCGUGGAACAGCAAAAGAAUGAAGUGGCAUUACAGAAAAGAGAGGGAGAAAAGCCUGAAAUAACUCGCAGCUCUACACUACAAUGAGAAUGCAGGACGAAGACAAUGCAGGACGGAGACAUGCUAGCCAGAACUAGAAAUGGAGACCUAAGAUUCUCAAUAGCACUUUAGAUACGCAAAGAAUGCAUGCACAAUGCACUUGUUCAUUGUCA